CAGGAUCCAAACUCAAUGCUCCGCUCCUCAGUUCCUCUCCACAGUAAGUGAUUCUUUUGUAUGGAAAGGCAGAAAGCUGUAUCAUCAAAAUCAAUGACAAAACUCCUGCAGCUCUCAGAGAGGCUGAAUUUCAUUCCAAAAUGAGCAGGAAGUUUGUCAAUGGAUAUAAGGCUGCUGCGAGGACACCACACCCAAUGUGUGUGGUGCUGUGCAUACUACUGAGAUGACGAAGUCUCUGCCCUCAGAUGCUUACAAGACAGAUAACACAAUGAAUUAUGACACAGGCUAAGAAGGGUCAGAGAGGAGGUGAAAGAGGAAAGGAAAUGACAGAAAGCAAAAGAAAGCAAAUUUGUUUCAUGAAAGGACCAUUAUUUACAAAGCACAGACAUCAGGUAAUUUGAUUCCCUUUGGCUGUUAUUUUGGAUUUGUUUUUCACUUUGUUUUAUUAUGUUUAAUAAUUGGGCAUGGGUG
ensembl:lncRNA